rnacentral:misc_RNA from 1 species
CCAAUAGCGUAUAUUAAAGUUGUUGCAGUUAAAAAGCUCGUAGUUGAAUUUCGGGAUCAGUAGGUCGGUCGUGCCACUGGUAUGAACUGGUCUCACUGGUUCCUCCCUCUUGACGAACUGCAAUGCUAUUAAUUUAGUGUUGUAGGAAAUCAGGACUGUUACUUUGAAAAAAUUAGAGUGUUUAAAGCAGGCUUUGGCUUGAAUACAUUAGCAUGGAAUAAUGAAAUAGGACGUUCGAUCCUAUUUUGUUGGCUUCUAGGAUUGACGUAAUGAUUAAUAGGGAUAGUUGGGGGCAUUAGUAUUCAAUUGUCAGAGGUGAAAUUCUUGGAUUUAUUGAAGACUAACUACUGCGAAAGCAUUUGCCAAGGAUGUUUUCAUUAAUCAAGAACGAAAGUUAGGGGAUCGAAGACGAUCAGAUACCGUCGUAGUCUUAACCAUAAACUAUGCCGACUAGGGAUCGGAUGAUGUUAAUUUUUUAAUGACUCAUUCGGCGCCUUACG